GAUUAGUGGCGAACGGGUGAGUAACACGUGGGCAAUCUGCCCUGCACUCUGGGACAAGCCCUGGAAACGGGGUCUAAUACCGGAUAUCACUUCCACUCGCAUGAGUGGGGGUCGAAAGCUCCGGCGGUGCAGGAUGAGCCCGCGGCCUAUCAGCUUGUUGGUGAGGUAAUGGCUCACCAAGGCGACGACGGGUAGCCGGCCUGAGAGGGCGACCGGCCACACUGGGACUGAGACACGGCCCAGACUCCUACGGGAGGCAGCAGUGGGGAAUAUUGCACAAUGGGCGAAAGCCUGAUGCAGCGACGCCGCGUGAGGGAUGACGGCCUUCGGGUUGUAAACCUCUUUCAGCAGGGAAGAAGCGAAAGUGACGGUACCUGCAGAAGAAGCGCCGGCUAACUACGUGCCAGCAGCCGCGGUAAUACGUAGGGCGCAAGCGUUGUCCGGAAUUAUUGGGCGUAAAGAGCUCGUAGGCGGCUUGUCACGUCGGGUGUGAAAGCCCGGGGCUUAACCCCGGGUCUGCAUUCGAUACGGGCUAGCUAGAGUGUGGUAGGGGAGAUCGGAAUUCCUGGUGUAGCGGUGAAAUGCGCAGAUAUCAGGAGGAACACCGGUGGCGAAGGCGGAUCUCUGGGCCAUUACUGACGCUGAGGAGCGAAAGCGUGGGGAGCGAACAGGAUUAGAUACCCUGGUAGUCCACGCCGUAAACGGUGGGAACUAGGUGUUGGCGACAUUCCACGUCGUCUGUGCCGCAGCUAACGCAUUAAGUUCCCCGCCUGGGGAGUACGGCGCAAGGCUAAAACUCAAAGGAAUUGACGGG
rnacentral:rRNA from 1 species